GUCGAUCGAACAGAAGAGCAGGACAAGGGUUGAAACCCUAGCAUCAAGAAAUUAAGCAAUUUAACUUGAAUCAAAGGAAAAACUCAAUGCAUGAUCCCCUAAACUCGAGUAGCUAACCUCAAUUUCCGAAGUGGCGUGAAGGAAGAAGGUUCCAAUACUAGGAAAUCGGAAAGUUCACAAGAUCGAGGUAAAUCCUCAGUUUAGGCGACUUGGCAAUUUGGAGCGAGCAUACGCACACUUUAUGACCAUCAAGCGCUUUCGCUAGUCUGUACUAAUGUUUUGGGUUAAAUGUCUGUUUUGUACAACUUGUUAGUAGUCACACUUUUUUAACACUCGAUGUUUUGGUUUUUAGUAGUAUCUUGUCGAACGGAUUGUAGAAUUGUAUUUGUUUUGAUUAUGGUUAAAACAGGGGUAUACUCGUUUUACGGACGGGUCAUGCCCAAAUUUUGUUAAAAUCA